rnacentral:lncRNA from 1 species
CCUUGGGAUCUGCCUGCCUUGGCCUCCCAAAGUGCUGGGAUUACAGGCGUGAGCCACUGCACCUGGCAUAAUUUUGGCUACUCUUAAUCAACCCCAGAAGGUUUAAUAAGAACUUUGAUUAGCUACUUUCUAGCUUCAUGAAUUUACCAAGCUAUUCCUGGUUUUGCACCUUUAAGAAACUCAUUUUUUAAAUCUGAUGAAUAUAUGUCCAUAAGAAGCUUUACUUGGUUAAAAUUAAAUACAUACAAAAUUGACAGAAAAAUUAUUUUGUCAAAGAAAAAUGAACGAAGAGUAGUGUCAUUUUUCAUUGUCACAUUCAUUUCUCUAAGAAAUGGAUCUGUCCUUCAACAUCUCCUCCUAGCCCAUACUGUUUGAAUAUAGAGGGCUCUUGGGCCAUGGUCCGGGGAUUAUUUAUAAUCAGCAACAAGGGGUUACAGUGUCAUGGCUUACAAUUUGGUGGGGUGGGACCAGGGACUAGUUGGAGUUUUUUGUUUUGGUCGUCAUAAUUUAUUUGAAGCAGGGAGCUUGGCUCUCCACCCUUUGUACUUAUUAGUCCACCAAACAUCUGCCCAGUCACCACUGGGACUUUUAACACUCCAUACUUAUACAUGCUUGAUUUUUUGUGGUAUAGACAUAGACACUUAUCAACAUGGGCUAGCUUCUUUUGACCUUGCUCAUCUCCAUACGGGAUGACUGAACAGGCAUCAAACUGAAGGGUUAAAAAAUGACUAGCCUGAGUUACACUGAUGACAAGAUGACCUUCUGUUGAAAAGAAAAAAGAGAAUAAAUAAGUGAUUAUUAAGCUCUUUUUAGAGUUAAUUUGGUGGGGGUGGGCUGUGGAGUGACAGUUCAUGAUUCUGGAGGUGGCGGCACCUUCUUGACUCGGGUGUGAUGAGUCCAUCCUCUUUCUGUUGUCCAGACUGCAGUCUCAGUACAUAGGAGCACUAGGUAGGGUCCUUCCCAGGCUGGUUCGAGCUUCCUUUUCUUCUACCCUUGGAUGAGAACAUGGUCUCAAGGCCAAUGCUGAUGUUCUGGAAACUCCAGGGGUGAUGCCUGUGCUAGGAGACCUUUAGUCCCAAGGGAAAAGAAGGUAGAGCCUAGACCAAGUAUAUAAUUUUUGAGGAAAUGAUCCUUUGUUUCAAACAUAGGGAUGUCAGCAAUGGAGUGUAAGUAGGGCAUUCCAUAGAGCGUUUCCUCAGGUGACAGGCCAAUAUCUUUCCAAGGGGCAGUCCGGAUUCUUAACCAAGCAAUAGGAGUAUAUUUAGUCCAUGGCAAUCGAGUUUCUAAAACUAAGUUAAGUGGUUUAUUAGAGUCUGAUUCAUCCACUCUACUCUUCCUGUGGAGGAUGGAUGCCAAGGAGUAUGGUAUUCCCAAUGUAUAUCUAGUACCUGUGCUAACUUCUUAAUGACAUGCACAGUGAAAUGGGUUGCAGUAUCUGAAUCAGUAUUUUCUAUUAGUUCAAAUCUGGGUAUGAUGUUUUCAAUUAGCGCUUUAACUACAUUACUGGAGGUUGCACGUGAGAAUGGGAUUGCCUCUACCCAGUGGGUAAAAUGGUCUAUUAUUACUAAUAAGUAUAACUACCAAUUGGAGGCAUUUCAGUGUAAUUGAUCUGAACACUUUGAAAUGGUCUCAGUGCUGGAUUUCUUCCACCAAGGCGCAAUUUCCUUAGAUCCUGCUUAUUAGCUUUUUUUACAUGUUAAGCAACUAUCUAUAACUUGUUUGGCCAGGGUGUAAAUUCUUAUACACCCAUAAACCCGGAGAACUGCAUUGCACAUUGCUUGGGGUCCCCAAUGGGUCCCUUGAUGUAAUUGAGACAAGACUUCCCUCAUGAGAGGUUUUGACAACAUUUCCCUUUGAUCUGAUAAUAUCCAUUUCCUAUCCGCAUUUUCUUUAGCUCCUAUUUUUAUCAACGUCUUUUGUUCAAUGGAAGAGAAAACGGGUUACAGUAGGAGGAGGGCAUGGAGUUAAAUGGAAGAAAUGGCAACUUGUUUUGCUAUUUUAUUGUAACCGACUGAGUUAUAGAGAGAAUGCCACAGUCUGAGACUAAUUCAGUGAUCCUUUAUUGCCAGCAACCGAGAGACGGCUAGAGCUCAAAAUUCUCUCAGCCCCGAAGAAGGGGCUACACAUCUUUUUACACCUUGGUCUAAAGAGGGGAGGAGGAGUGUAGCUGAAGCAAUUUUUUACAGAAGCAGAACAGGCAAAAAAGUUGAAAGAUAAAUGGUUACAGAAACAGUAAUAAGAAAAUAAACAGUUCCAGGUGCAGGGGCUUAAAUUAUCACAAAGUGAUAAACGCAAAGGCUUUGGGCACCGUCAACCGAGUGCGUUCCCAGGAGCUGCUGGUACAGCUUGCCUCAGUAUCUUAUCAGUAAGCGCAUUCUUGGAUGUGCUUGGAGUCAGCUUGCACCAGUUAUGUCCUUAAGGGAGGGGGACAAGGGGCUGCAAGUGAAGAAACCAAAAUGGAGUCUGUCCAGCUCUCUCAGCUAAGAGAGAGUCAAUCAGGUUAAAAGAAGUUAGGGUAUCACAUUUCCCACUCGUGUUUGGGGGAAUCAGAUCAUUGAUUCCUCGGUUAUAACAAGGGUGUUAUAUUGGGUUCUAAGAUACAUAAGAUUGACAGAAGCUAUGCGUUGCUUUACAAAAUUAAGAAACCAAUUUAAUAUACAAGGCCUGAAGACUAACCCUAACAAGAGGAGGAGAAGGGGGUCCCGCCAACCCAGUAAUUAGAGUAGUUAGCCAGGGAUUCCAGUUAAACAUGCUUUGGUACUUUGGUACUCCAGGAAUGAGAAAGGUGGUGUUACUUUCUUGUUCCUUCUGGCAUCUAUCUAGAUUUUCUCGAACUCUUUGAAGAGUAUUUUUUAUGACUCCAGACUGAUUGGCAUAGAAACAACAACUUUCUUCUAGAGCUGUGCAUAAACCUCCUUGGGAGAUAAAUAGCAGAUCUAAGCCUCGGCGGUUUUGAAGAACUACUUCAGCUAGAGACUCUACCUGGGCAUGUAGUAUAUUUAUGGCUGAUUGGAGAUUGCUUAAAUCAGCAUCUACCUGUUGAGAUAGUGAUAUUAGUCCAGUUUCUCCUUGAAUCAGGGCAGUCGUGCCAAUAGCUGCUGACGUAGCUAUGCUAAGGCCAGCUAGAAGGGGUACAAGGAGUAGGGCAGCUCGGUGAAACCUGAAAUGCAAUUCAGGGGGAGCAAUGAGAAGUUGUCCUUCUGGCCCACUGUACAUGUAGAUCUGGGGGAGUACAUGAAUCAACAUGCAUAGGAGAGGUCCAGGUUCAGUCCCAUUGAUGCAGCGAGUGAGGCCUGAAAUGCAGGCCAACCAGGUAUUUUUGGGUGCCUGGUAGGAGACUGAGGGGUUUAAGGAAGUAAGGAGAGACUCACUACAAGUAGCCUGAAAGGGAGAAGCAGGUAAGUUAUACCUUGCGCUAAUUAGACAGAAGGCAUUCCCUGACACAUCUCCUAGUGUAAGGGCAUGGGGGCACGUAUGACAAGAAAGAGAGUCCAUUUUGAGCAUGGCUUCUACUCCUAAUCCAACAUAAUAUGGGGGUUUGGCCUUUCGGCACAACCAGCAAUCUCAGGCUAGUUUAGGCUUGGUGAGAUUAAGGAGGUGAUGUAUCCCGUCCAAAAUGGACAUCGGGCUGGGUUGGAGGUAUUGUCAUUGCAGCUGGGGUCUCAGAACCAGGAAUGGCAGUGGGACAGUUAAAUCGACUCUCUCUGGGUGUUUUUGGAACAUAGGGUCACCUAAAUCAGUUAAAGUUCUGAUUGGCUUCAUGGGACCAGGAAUUUUUUCUGGAUGGUGAACAUAGUUCCAACAUCAAAUCCUGAAAUAUAAAGCCUUAAUCCCUAUGACAUGCUGUAAUACCAUUGAGUUAAACUAGGGUUACGGAGAGUUAUAGUAAGAGGAUUACAAUUUCCUAUAGUACACGGCUUAGGAUGGGAAGCACAAGCUAUGGAAAGGGUUGAGGAUCAGGUUCAUCCUCCAGAGUAAGUGGCCAAGGUUACACACAUGCAGUAAGGGCAGAAAAACUGGUAAGAAUCUCGACAACUAGAGUCAGGGCGAUUUCCAGGACAAAGGUAAAAGUCAACGCUCUGGAGCCUUUUUUCUGCACCCUUAGAACUUCCACAUCCAGUUUGGCUUCUGGUGUGUCCGAACCCUGCAGCAAGGUCAGCGUUCCCUGCUCUCAUGAUCGGCAGAUUGCAUUGCUCUUCAAGGGUAUGGGCAGGGUCGGGGAACAAAGCACAUAAACCGACUACAAAAGAGACUUCCUUGGAGGGUCCCACCUUCCAAGUGGUGUUUGCAAACACACAUCCUGUCAUGAAGGAAGUGAGGAGAAAAGAGUAGGAAGGGGCAGAGGACAUAACAGGUGGAAACAGACAGAAGAGGUAAAUAAAAAGAAUUAAUUCGAUAGCUUUACUCAACUUAGGCGCAGUUUUAAGGGGCCUGGCCUAGGCUUGGGGACCCAUUUUUUUUGCUGGGCUUUGUUGGCCUUUUUGAUGCGAGAAUGAUGAAUCCAAGCAGGAGUGCCGUCCACCUUCAGAGCUGUUGGUGUGGUGAGGAUGACAGUAUGAGGUCCUUUCCAGGCAGGAGUCAGUCCUUUUUUCUGGAACUUUUUAACAUACACUAGGUCACCCAGCUGGAAAGAGUGGCAGGGCCCAGUCUGGUCAGGAACUGGGCUGGGGUGUGCUCCCCUGACAAGCAGCUGGAUGAUGUCUUGUACCCGUUGGAGAGACUGCAGGUACUGUAACAAGUUAGCUUGUGAGAUUUCUGCUAAAUGGGUAUCCUUUAGCUUAGGCAAGAUAGGCGGAGCCCUUCCAUACAUGAUUUCAAAAGGUGAAAACCCAGCCUGGUAAGGGGUGCAUCUUACUCUAAGAAGGGCUAAAGGAAGGAGCUUUACCUAGUUUUCACUGGUUUCUAGGAUUAAUUUUGCAAGAGUACUUUUUAGGAUGGGGUUCAUGCAUUCUACUUGUCCAGAGCUCUGGGGUCGAUAGGCACAAUGGAGUUUCCAUUGAAUGUUUAAUGCCUUGCUGACCGACUGAGCUAUGGACGAGGUGAAGGCUGGUCCAUUAUCAGACCUUAUUACAACAGGCAGUCCAUGUUGAGGGAUGAUUUCAUUGAGUAAAAGCUUAACUACCGUGGUAGCAGUUUCGUUUUUGGUGGCAAAUGCCUCAGUCCAUCCAGAAAAGGUGUCUACUAGCACCAGGAGGUAUUUAUACCCUGCCAAGUGUGGUUUUACCUCUGUAAAGUCAAUUUCCCACCUUCCUCCUGGCAAGCCUCCCUGGAGGCGGUGGCCUGGGCUGGGCUUAGGACCUUGCUUGGUGUUUACUUGGGCACAAGCCGUUUACUGGAGAGCUGCUUGGUUAGUUAAGUCCUGAAGGUGGGGGAUCUUGAAAUGGCUCCUUAGAAGCUGGGCCAGUUUUACUCCUCCUAAAUGGGUGGUAGAAUGUAGAUGAUUGAUAAAAGUUUCCCCAAGGGCUUGGGGCAUGAAGAUUCUGGAAUCAGGAAGAAUUCACCAACCUUCCUGAUUUUUACUGGCUUGAAGAUCCGAAGCUUGUUUUUCUUCCUCUGGGGAGUAUUCUGGGUAGUCUGCCCAGUCAGUUGUGGAAAGGACACAGAGGGCAGCAGGGUUAAAGGCACGACCAGGAGCUGAGCUGCCUCUCAAGCUGCAGAGUCUGCUCUUUGGUUACCACGAGCAAUGGCCAUGUCUUCUCUUUGAUGUCCUUUGCAGUGAAUUGCAGCCACCUGUUGAGGGAGCCAAACAGCUUCAAGCAGGGCUAAAAUUUCUUCUUUGUUGUUGACACUCUUUCCUGCUGAGGUAGGAAAUGCUGGGAAGAAAAAGCUGGGCCUUCUUGGCUGGGACCUGAUACCCGAAUUCCUGAAGGAGGUAAAGUAGGUCCGUAGUAUGUUGCAGGCAGCUGUCAGUAGUUUCAGUAGCCAAUAACAGGUCGUCUACAUACUGGAGAAGAGUGCAGUUAGGGUGACUGGCUCAGAAUGGUAAAAGAUCCUGUUGGAGGGCUUCCCUAAAAAGGGUGGGGGAAUUUUUAAAACUUCGGGGUAACCAAGUCCAGGUUAAUUGGGUGGUGUCUACCGAGCCAGGAUAUGUCUGUUCAAAAGCAAAGAUAGGUUGACUUUUGGGGCCAGAGGAAUAGCAAAAAAAAGCAUCCUUGAAGUCAAGGACAGUGUACACCAUAUGUUCUGGUGGGAGCAGGCUGAGUAAAGUAUAAGGGUUAGAGACAGUUGGAUGGACAGUGACUGUCUGCUUGUUACCUUCCUGCAAGUCCUGUACAGGCUGGUAAUCAUUUGUUCCGGGUUUCUGGACCGGCAAAAAUGGAAUAUUCCAGGCGAUCUCACAUGGUAUAUGGUCCCUCUCUUCAGAGGUGAAAAGGGAUGAAAGGAGUUGCUGACACUCAUCCCAGGUGGGCCGGUGAGUCUGGAGCACAGACUCCAUCAGUGAGGUUAAGACCUGGGGCUUUUCAGAAAAGGGGGGAUUAUGAGCCUUCCAGUUGUACAGGUCAGAAGUAGAGAAGGGGACAUAAACUAAAAAUGGAGCACAACGCCCACUGCCCAAAGGGAUUUGGGCCUCUGUCAGUGGGAGGAGCGGGGCCACCUCCUCCGGCUGAGGCCAUAAUUGGGAGGAUAUAGGCAGAGAGGCCACAGAGGAUGUAGUUGAGGAGACAAGGGAAGAUUCUGGGGGAGGAGGAGGGUUAUAGGGUGGUGGAAAUGGGUGAAGAAAACUUUCCUCUUCUUCAGAAGGAGGCAGUACAGGAGGAAUCGAGGGAGCUGAGGGUGGAGGCAAAAGUGAGGUCUGGCUAAAAAGGACCUUGGAGGUAGGAUCACGAAUGGCUACAGAGUUUUAUCACGAGUGGAGCCAUGAAGGAGAGCUCUGGACUAAAUCUAGCCAUUGAUCAAUGUAGGGAAACUGAUCGGGGUGACCGGGAGUUCCAACAACGACCCACCACACAGCCUGAACAGCUGUGAAGUGUAGUGACCCGUCUGGGGGCCACCCAGUUCCAAACUUUGGCCAUUCUACUUCGCAGAGUGUCCAGAGUUUGCCUUUUUUAAGGCGGACCCCGUAAUCAUCUGAGAAGCCUAGAGAGAAAUUCUGCAACAUACACUGGAGAGGACUCCAAUCUUUAUGGGGCCGGGAAGAAGAGUUUACUAUUCUGGAGGCAAUUAACAAGGUUUGAACAAAAAUAUUAAACCCAGCAUGGACAAAGAUAUUCACGGCCUGGGAGGCUAUGGUAUCAGAAGAACAGAAGUAUUAUAGCUAGAAGAAGUAGGAAAACAACUAUAGCCAAUAUUUCUUGCCACAUAAGGUCUGUCUCCUCAAGCUUCGAGAUCUAUGGAGAGGAUAAGAGGUGGGUCCAAGGGAUCCUCAGCCAGUGGGACUUAGGUGACCCCCCCUUCUUGACUUAUAUCCCAAAUAACUUUGGUGUCUCCACGACUCGAAAGCAAAAUGUUCAAACUCGGUCCUUUCCUUCACGGGUUUAAGGAGGGAGAACACAGCCAAGUCUUAGAGACGCUGGACUUGCUGCAACACAGGAAAAUGAGAUGUGCAGGGUAAGGGAUGGGGAUGAGGAGGAAAGGGGCCACUUGGAUUUCCCUAAAGGUUGGAGAGUAGCCAAAAGAGGUAAAAUAAGAGUCCAGACAGAGUAGAGCAGUAUGGGUGUAGGUUUCUCUGCACAGUGCCUUAUUUAAGGGCAUGGGAAAAGUUAUGGGAUGACAGAAAAGGUGAGUAAGGAGGUCAGCAGGGUGGCUAUUUUGGAUCCACCACUGGUCUAAGGAGAAGGUGGACCAGUCGUUGGGGCGUGGGGUAUGGCAAUCCAAACGCCAGCAAUCUUUAUGGUGCCAGAAAUCCUAAACGGGUGAAUGUCUUCCACACCCUUCCCCAUAACAACACCUAAUUUGUUUCUGACAGGAAAGGCAGGACUGGGAUGGCCAGCCCAACCGACUAAUGAGGAAUUUGACCUCCUGGGAUAGAAAAUCUGUACUAAGGACCUUGAAGAAGUCCUUGCCCAGUCAUUUUGGGCAGUAUCGACGAUCCGACAUAUGAAAUUUAGACAGACACUAAACAGGACAAUAGGCACUGGGGUAUAUAAACAAGCAUGGCAAUUUUUAUAGACAGACAAGGGGAGGGGGUCCCGUGAUGGGAUCAGUCAGAUGCCCUCCUGGCUGCUCCCCUUUCGGGGACUUAGGCUCCUCUUGGCAUUGGCAGGCUGGUAUAAACCCCUGGCUUGGAUCGAGCUAUGCCUGAUGCCGCCCUAAGCCUUAUGAGGUCACCACGGAACCACAGGUGAGGGCCUUCUCGAAUUCCCUAGCUUUCACCCUGGAGCUACAAACUGGAAAUUCAAGCGCAAGCCCUUGAACUCCACAUUCACUCACUCACUCACUCACUCAGAGUUUAUUACAAUUUUUAUACCCAUUCUAAAACAGAGAUCUCCCGGAGACCUGAAUGAGAGAGGGAGAAGAGAUAGAGAGAGAGAGAGACUAGACUUAACAGAGAAUCCUGACAGAAACCAGGACUCUGUCCUCCAGUGUCCUGGAGCAUGGACAGAGUCUGAGGGAGGACCUUCGUCAGGGCCGUUUCCCUCCCAGAGAGACAGAGUCAGAUCUGACUUACCUUCCCGGGACUAGAGACUGAGGACUCAGGAGUUGAAUUUGGCUGGGCGCACCGGCAGUCGAUCCGUUCCCCUCCAGAAGACAGUGGCCUGUGGAGCCCUGGAACGUCUUCAGGUGGCCCUGUAAGCCAGCUGUCUGUCUGGGGAAGCCCGGAAUGAGUCAGGUCUUCACCCGGUGGCGAAUCUCUCUGGGGCUUCCAAAUGUCGUAACCGAGCAAGUCAUAGAGAGAAUGCCACACUCUGAGACUAAUUCAGGAGUCCUUUAUUGCUGGCGACUGAGAAAGAGCUAGAGCUUGAAAUUCUCUCGGUCCGGAAGAAGAGGCUAGAGUUCUUUUUAUACCUUGGCCUAAAGAGGGGAGGGGGAGUCUAGCUGAAGCAAUUUUUUACAGAAGCAGAACAGGAAAAAAUUAAAAGAUAAAUGGUUACAGAAACAGUUACAGGAAAAUAAACAGUUCCAGGUGCAGGGGCUUAAAGUAUCCCAAAGUGAUAAAAGCAGGGGCUUUGGAUACCACCAACCAAGUGUGCUCCCAGGAGCUGCUGGUACAGCUUGCCUCAGUAUCUUAUCAAUAAGCGCAUUCUUGGAUGUGCUUGGAGUCAGCUUGCACCAGUUAUGUCCUUAAGGAGGGGGACAAGGGGCUGCAAGCGAAGAAACCAAGCUAAGACUCUCUCAGCUAUUGACUCUCUCGAUAUUGACUCUCAAUUGAGUCUCCCAAGCUAUUGACUCUCUCAGCUAAGAAAGAGUCAAUCAGGAUAAAACAAGAUAGGGUAUCACAAUUUGAUCUGCAAGAUUAUUUCCUGGACUUGUGAAAGGCGAGUCGUUUUGGUGCCCUGGGACAUGUACAAUAGCUAUCUCUUCUGGCAAUUGGAGAUUGUUGAGGACACGAGCAUCAGUUCUCUAUGAACUAAAUCUUGGCCUCUACUAUUGAUAAGAGCCCUCUCCAUCCAAAUUUUCCCAAAUGUGUGUGCCUCCCCAGAGGGAUACUUAGAGUCAGUAUAGAUAGAUUUUCUUGGUUUUGUAAAUGUCCUAAAGCUUGGCUGAGUGCAAACAGUUCACACCCUUGGACAGACCAAUUAUUAGACCCCCUUCCUGAUUUUACUUUUUUAACAGUCUUUCCAUUAAUCACUGAAUACCUAUUAUGUCUCUUUCUUUUAAUCACCUGGGAGGUUCCAUCUAUGAAUAAGUGCCACCCUGUCUUGAAGGGAGUUUUUCCUAAGUCUGGUUGAACUUUCGUAUGGUAAUUAAUUCGAUUUAAACACGCGUGCUCUCUCGUUUUACGUUUGGAUCCCCCGUUAAAGAGCCUGCUGAAUAAAGUGAAUUAUUAGUACUUAAUAUUAAAUCACCUUUUUCCCAGAAAGAUAGCCUCAUAUUUUAAAAUUUUUGAGUUGGUAAUCUCCCUCCUUGCGUUUUGAUUUAAUAUAGUUUUAACUUGGUGGGUUGUGGCCUGAAGCGGCUGGGGAGUAACUUGAAACCUCAGCUGAAGGGACAGCACAGGCUGGGGCGUGGCCUGAAACAGCUGGGGAGUAACCUGAAACCACAGCCGGAGGGACCUGAGAGGGGAACCAAAGGGGCAGGAUUGGGGGCGCUGAAGGAAGGAAGGUGAUUUAGAGGAUCCCAUGUCUUGGUAGGUAUGGGUUGUCUAGGCAUGGGAACUCUUUCCUUUUUAGAAAGGUUGGUUUCUGAUUUUCUCCCUCCAGAGUCUAAAGGGUAAAGGAGAACUGGUCCCUGCCGCCAGCAGAGGGCGUAAUCGAUUUUUCCUGGGACACAGGGCUCUUACUGUUAACAUAUUUGAUUAACAGCUGACAAAUUCGCUCUUCAUUAGACUUAAAUUUUGGCCAGAAAAGUGAGGGCUUAAGGAUGGGUUCUCGAACUUAAAUAAAACAACAAUAUUCUAUCAUCUGCUGUUUUUGUUUAUACUUGGUUCUCUUAUUAUUUUUUCAAUACUUUAGCAUAAGCCCCAAGGGGCUAUCAGAAGGAAAUUCAUCACUCUCUAGACUCUUUAGUUUUCCUGUCUUACUUGAAACGUUCCCCAUCUUAGGGAUUAUGGGGAGGAGGCCCAACCCCUCCUGUGAGAUUUCUACCCUCCCCCUUCCUGGAGGCUUACUGAGGCUUUGGGGAAAGGCUCCAACCCAACCUGUUUGGAUUUCUACCCUCCCCCUUCCUCUUUGUCUACUCUGUCUGUUCCUGACUCUAGUUGACAGAUGGCAGCAUGAGGCCAUAGAGAAGACUCACUCACUCCACAUAACCACCAUACUAAGUCCCAUUCAUACACUGUCAGCCUCCAGCUUAUCCCAACCACCUGGGAAAUACUUUGUCACCUUCGCCAAGUCUCCUACCUUAUUCCAUGCACAAGAAUUUCCUGGUCCUCUUAUUGUUGCGGUCUUGCAAGCUUCUCCUCCCCGCUUUGCUGAGAUCCAGACUUAUUUGUCACAAAGCGGGGGGGGGGCCCUGAUCUCCCUCAACCUAGGGGCACGGUAACUAGACAGUAGGAUGCGUCCCCUCCGGGUGGGGUGACCGAAGGCCCCCUUCCCAAAGGAGAAGAUUCGAGCCCCAAAGUUGGGCUCCAGAACUGUUAGGAAUAACGCUCAAAAUCUUAAGGAAAUUGAACACUUGAACAAAGGAUUCUUAGCAAAGCAAUUUUACUUCUGCGCAGAGAGGUGCCUCCUUGUCCAGUCGCCAUGAGAGCACACCUGAAAAAGGGGCACGAGAGCCUUUACUCCUGACACAAGUACUGCCCCUGUACCCUUUCUCCAUUGGCCAGGGUCAGGUCGUACAAUCUAAACUAAUCCUGGUUGGCUAAACAUUGGAUUUUUUUUAGAUAAGGUGGGCACGUAAAAAAGGCAGAGAAUAAAGGGGAAGGGGUGUCUGUAAUGAGCUAAAAAGUUAGUCCUCUUUCCAAAUAAGGAAAGGAAUGUGAGCAGGUACAGAUACCACCUGGUACUGUGGCAUGCCUGGGCAUGUAACAAAGGAAAAAAGAGAAAAAAGGAGAAAAAGGAAAAAAGGUGGAGGGAUUA